rnacentral:rRNA from 1 species
CAGCAGCCCGAGUGGUGAUCGUUUUUAUUGGGCCUAAAGCGUCCGUAGCCGGUCUAGUAAAUCCUUGGAUAAAUCGUACAGCUUAACUGUACGGCUCCCGGGGAGACUGCUAGACUUGGGACUGGGAGAGGUCGGAGGUACUCCAGGGGUAGGGGUGAAAUCUUGUAAUCCUUGGGGGACCACCAGUGGCGAAGGCGUCCGACUAGAACGGGUCCGACGGUAAGGGACAAAGCCCUGGGGCGCGAACCGGAUUAGAUACCCGAGUAGUCC